GACGAACGCUGGCGGCGUGCCUAACACAUGCAAGUCGAACGAAGCUUGAUCACGGAUUCUUCGGAUGAAGUGUGAUAUGACUUAGUGGCGGACGGGUGAGUAACGCGUGAGCAACCUGCCUUUCAGAGGGGGAUAACAGUUGGAAACGACUGCUAAUACCGCAUAAUAUAUAUUUAAGGCAUCUUAGAUAUAUCAAAGCUGAGGCGCUGAAAGAUGGGCUCGCGUCCGAUUAGGUAGUUGGUGGGGUAACGGCCUACCAAGCCGACGAUCGGUAGCCGGACUGAGAGGUUGAACGGCCACAUUGGGACUGAGACACGGCCCAG
rnacentral:rRNA from 1 species